GCCUGGCUUUGCCGAGCCGCUUCCUCAUGUUGCACGUGGGGAUGACGGAGCCGCCCUCCAGGAAGCUCCAGGGAUUCAUAAGACCAGGCGUGCCAGAGCUGCAGGUCUCAGCAGCUGAUCACUAAGUGCUGGUGCCUGCUCACAAGGGACAGCUGCCCACCAGCUCUGGGCCAUGGCUGGGGGCUCCCGCCCAAGCCCUGGGCAACUGAUGAUACGUUGCUGACCGCAGGCAAGCCUCCCUGCCAGCCCUGCUGGCCUGCAUGGGACCAGGGAAGGAGGGUGAGGCCUAUAUUUAUCUGCAGUGUGAGGAGGCUUGUCUGGCAGUCAGAUGCAAAUGCCUUCAUCCCAUCUAGGCUGGUUGCUGCUCACAGCGGACAAGUCUUUCCCGCCUGUUCCACACCAGCCUGGUGCCAGUGACAGGGGUGGCGGGAGCUUCACAGUGCCUGGAGGCUCGUUCCUGGGCUGCGAAAGCGCCUGAGUGACGGAGGCUCAGGCUGAGCUUAGGCGAGUUUACUGAGGCUUAGGAGGAAGCCGGAUCAGAAGAGGCUGCAGAAACCAUAAUGCCCACACAUCCCUGCCCCAGCGGCGGCCCACAGGUGCCUGGCCUCAGCUCAGCUACACUGGAGGGGAGGUAGCCAGCACCCUGAUGGUGUCUCGGUUCUAAGACCCCAUUUACACAGUGGAAAACAGGAGGCAGCCGCCCAGCGACCUCUGCCCUUCAAAGGCUCCAAGAGAAGCAAAGGGACAGGUGUAAGGAAGUAAGCCCUGACCCUGGAGACUCAACAAGCCCUGAUGAAGUUAGACGAAGUUACAAGCUGGGCCCUGACCCUGGUCACACACUAAGCUCUGACCCUGGUCUCAGACUGAGCCCUGAUUCUCAUCACUGAGUCACUAAGUCCUGAUCCUGGUCACAUGUCGAGCCUCGACCUUAGUCAUACACUGAGUCUUGACCCUGGUCACAGGCUGAGCCCUGACCCUGGUCACACACUGAGCCCUGAUCCUGGUCACACACUGAGCCCUGACCCUGGUCCUCAAUCAGCUGAGCCUUGAUCCUGCUUCCUGAUUGGCUAUGAACUGUUCCAGUGUGGAAGGGAGAGGCCAGGGCAUGAGGUGGGACUCGCUAGGGCAGCCCCUCUGCACAUCUGGGACUCAGGUCAGAACACAACCCUCCCUACAUGCGAGAAGAAGUUCCUGCAGGUGGCAUCUUUCAGGUAGCUGUGCUUUAAGCCUGCGCUGGGCUUGCCCUCCGGUGACAGCAGCAGCUUUCAAGGAGGCAGCCAUGAGACAGUCCCUCAGGCUGGGGGCUUGAUCACGCUCACCUCAGAGCCUCACCUCCUGGGGAGUGAGCAAAAGUGAGAGUCAUUAACCCACUUUACAGAGGAGGAAACGGAGGCCCGGGAAGGGGCCUCAGGAUCUCGCCCAGAGAAUAGCCGGUCCUGAAGACCCUGCAUCUGAGCCACACCCUGCUCUGCCCACACCUCCUGGGGUCUCAGCACCCCCAGUGCAUUUUCCCCCGCCCCCGGCCUGCACUGUGAGCUCCGGUUGGUGGUUCCUAGCAAGCACCUGUUGGCUGUGCCAGGCCCCAAGCGCCUCAUGAGCUAAAGAGGGUGCCCUGCUAUUCUGGGGCUCAAUGCCCAGCCUCUGCCCGAGUAGCCUUGUCUGUGCCUGUCCUGGGCCGGCCCUCCACGUCUGGAGGGGAGACGGAGCUUGCCUUCUCUGUGCUGUGGGACUGACUGUGUCGGGGUGGGGCAGGGAGGAAGCAAAAACCAAACCCCUCGCUUCCCCGACUGCCUGCCCUCGCCUGUCUCCAAACCUCACGGACAUCCAGCUCGAGGGAAGUGAACGUCACUCCAAUAUCUGAAAAUGCAGCUGAUGCUGCAAUUACAUCCCCUGUCCCUUCUCCUUCCGGGGGUCCUCUGGGGUCCUGGGAAUCCGGCCAACAGGAAUCUGUUUUAUGAUCCUGAGUCUCUGCCAGCAGGAAGGCCGGGCGAGGCCGGUCCCUAUGUGCCCACGAUGCUCUCACAUAAAUAUGCAUCACUUAAAAUUUAAUAAAAAAU
rnacentral:lncRNA from 1 species